AAUUAUGGUUGAUAUGUAUCUAUUAUUAUCACUUUUUAAUUGAAGUACCUACAUUGCUUUCUCUUAUGUAGGAUGAUGCUUCUCUACAGUGGAUGAUGAAAGCAUGCUGAUUACAAACCCAGGAGAGGAAUAAAGAACAGAUAUUGACAGAAUCAUAUCUAGAGAUGUGGGCCUACUGCACUUCAUACAAGCAAGUGUGCUAAUAUACCAUACUUGGGUUAUCAUCACAGCCCUUUCUUCUGAAAACUAGCCUACAACUUCAUCGAUGAAUGCAGAAGACAUCUACAUGGGACUACGUCUUAAAGAUGCCC